GAUGAAGAACGUAGCGAAAUGCGAUAAGUAAUGUGAAUUGCAGAAUUCAGUGAAUCAUCGAAUCUUUGAACGCACAUUGCGCCCGCCAGUAUUCUGGCGGGCAUGCCUGUUCGAGCGUCAUUACAACCCUCAGGCCCCCGGGCCUGGCGUUGGGGAUCGGCGGAGCCCCCCGUGGGCACACGCCGUCCCCCAAAUGCAGUGGCGGUCCCGCCGCAGCUUCCAUCGCGUAGUAGCUAACACCUCGCGACUGGAGAGCGGCGCGGCCACGCCGUAAAACACCCAACUCUUCUGAAGUUGACCUCGAAUCAGGUAGGAAUACCCGCUGAACUUAAGCAUAUCAAUAAGCGGGGA
rnacentral:misc_RNA from 1 species